GACGAACGCUGGCGGCGUGCUUAACACAUGCAAGUCGAACGAGUGGCGAACGGGUGAGUAAAACGUGGGUGACCUGCCCUGCACCUCGGGAUAAGCCUGGGAAAAUGGGUCUAAUACCGGAUAGUGUGGGAUGGGCCCGCGGCCUAUCAGCUGGUUGGGGGGGUAAUGGCUACCAAGGCGCGACGGGUAGCCGGCCUGAGAGGGUGGACGGCCACAUUGGGACUGAUACACGGCCCAGACUCCUACGGGAGGCAGCAGUGGGGAAUAUUGCCCAAUGGGCGCAAGCCUGAUGCAUCCAUGCCGCGUGUAUGAAGAAGGCCUUAGGGUUGUAAAGUACUUUCGGCGGGGAGGCGUUACCCGCAGAAGAAGCACCGGCUAACUCCGUGCCAGCCGCCGCGGUAAUAC
rnacentral:rRNA from 1 species